rnacentral:rRNA from 1 species
AAUAAAAUUAUUUAUGGUUUAAAAAUUUAUUAUAAAUUUAUUUUACAUAUAAAUUUUAGUGUUAAUUUUUAAUUUAUUUAAAUAAUAAUUAAUAUUUAUUUGUAGUAAUUAGAAUUAAAAAUUUAAGUAAUUAAGAUUUAGUAAUAUUUAAAUUAAUAACAAAUUUUGUGCCAGCAGUUGCGGUUAUACAAAAAUUAAAUUAAAUUUUUUUAGGGAUUAAUUAAUAAUAGAUUAUAUAAUA